AUUAAAUAGUGCGCCGGCAGACGAGAAAUUGAAUGCCAAGAAGCAUCCCACCAAUCUGGUUGAUUGCAAUGCUUCUGUUGACGAUUCCAUUAAGAAUCAACCAAGGCUUUUAAAUCUAAAUGAUGAAUUCAUUGGCAUGGUAAACUGAACGUUGUAGUUAUGAUGACGCGAGGAGUAGUAUGAAAUAUGCUUACAUUAUCCGCUCUAUAGUACCUUUGGACCUUUAUCGCAUGAAGGUGCAUUUUGACUACGUUGAAGCGAAAUCAUAACUGCGCAUUGGAAUUGAUACGGUAACAAAUAUUAUCAUUUGAAUUAUAUCAGCUGAAAAAAAUCAUACUGGCGACAAAAACUUCUUGAUUUCGCUUGAAGUCUUUCCUUUUAACAUUGUGGAUUGUAAGCUAAAUUUGAAGAUAGGCCUAUUUCACCUCUUCUGGGAUUGGAGUAAGCGCUCGUGAGGCUUUUUCCAUUUAACUUCAACCUGUACCCGUUUUUGAAAAUUUUGCUUUUAUGAGACAACACUGAAAAAUGCUGAAAAUGUUGUGAAGAAAAUAAAGUAGACUUCGUAAACUUGUAUCCUUGAAUAUGAAAGUGCUCUUGUAUAAGACCUACCGUACUAUGAAUCGUCACUGGCCAACGCAACCUAAAACAAUCUUGACUCUACUUCUAAUCGUUGUCACUGCAUCAUUAACAGCGUCAAUUUCCUGUUACGAUUGCGAAUAUAGUUUGAAACUCGGAACCAAUUUCGACUUUGCUGAAGCAAAACCAUGUUUCUUAUUAAAUACGAUUAAAACGAAUACAACUCGAGAAUGUCAAGCUCACGAAAAAUCUUG